CUAGCAAUAGCUACGAUAAAAUCGUGUUUGGAAGUGGGACUCGGCUGGUGGUGACACCAAAUCUUCCAGAAGCUGCACCUUCCAUCUACGAACUAAAGCCCGUCAAAGAAGAUAAGGACAAACUCAUGAAAAACUUAACUGCUUGCCUCUUCACUGACCAUUUUCCUGGUGGUAUCGAAGUGAAAACCAGGGGAGAAAACUGGAAAGCUGUCAACAGCUCCCUUGUUAUUGUGAAAGAAAAUGGAAAAGAUAUACCCAGCUAUGGGACAGUCCUGUGGGACAGCAAGGAUAAAGACUUCACCUGUUCUGCUAGGGCUGCUGGUCGAGUCUAUAACUAUGAAAGACAAGACAACUGCAUGAAAAAAGCAGACAAAUUGGGUACAACAGCUGCCACAUCUGCUCCAGCAACAACAGUUCAGACUUUUGAGACAGAUGAAACCCUGAAUACGCUCUCCAUCACCGUGUUGGGACUGAGGAUUAUUUUCUUAAAGGCAGUUGCCUUUAACGUGCUACUGACCUACCGCCUGCGGAUGAAAUAAGAAAUGAAAGGUGCAUCUCUGGGAUGGCAUGGAGGAAAACCCCAAAACAGACACCCGGCUUGCCUCCUCGUUACCUGACAGCAAACCUGGAGAAGGACACCUGCAUUUGGCUGGAAAGGAUCCUUCCUGUAAUUUCCCUGUAUUCUUUCUAAGCAAUGGUUGCCAGCUUAUAUAAUGGCAAGGAAAAGCUUCACCUUUUAAAUUUCUGCUUUGUUGCACAGAGAGUGUGGGAAGCUGGCAAGUCCGUUUCCUGCAUUGUUUUAUUAUAUUAUGCUGCCUUCUAAUAAUCUAUAAUCUACCAAAAUGUAUUGUGUACUGAAUAUUAAAGAUAUAUGAAUCUGAA